rnacentral:rRNA from 1 species
GACGAACGCUGGCGGCGUGCCUAAUACAUGCAAGUCGAGCGCAGGGAACUGACGGAACUCUUCGGAGGGAAGGCAGUGGAAUGAGCGGCGGACGGGUGAGUAACACGUAAGGAACCUGCCUCAAGGAUUGGGAUAACUCCGAGAAAUCGGAGCUAAUACCGGAUAGUUCAACGGACCGCAUGGUCCGCUGAUGAAAGGCGCUUCGGCGUCACCUUGAGAUGGCCUUGCGGUGCAUUAGCUAGUUGGUGGGGUAACGGCCCACCAAGGCGACGAUGCAUAGCCGACCUGAGAGGGUGAUCGGCCACACUGGGACUGAGACACGGCCCAGACUCCUACGGGAGGCAGCAGUAGGGAAUCUUCCACAAUGGACGAAAGUCUGAUGGAGCAACGCCGCGUGAGUGAUGAAGGUUUUCGGAUCGUAAAACUCUGUUGUAAGGGAAGAACACGUACGAGAGGGAAUGCUCGUACCUUGACGGUACCUUACGAGAAAGCCACGGCUAACUACGUGCCAGCAGCCGCCGUAA